CUCAGCUGGAGGCACCUGCCUAGGUUGCCUUGUACCUAGGCAAGGGUUACACUGCUGGGAGAAAAGCAGCACGUAGCUGGCGGGAAUCCUGGACCUGGUUAAUGCUAAACUGUGUCAGCUAUACCAGUGUGCCUGCAUAGUUGCCUAUUCUAGUUUUUCCUUUCUUUUUUUAAGAUAAGAGAGGAAAAUGGGGAACACU
ensembl:snoRNA SNORA74 Small nucleolar RNA SNORA74